GACGAACCGUGCGAACGUUGUUCGGAAUCACUGGGCUUAAAGGGCGCGUAGGCGGGUUCGCAAGUCUGUGGUGAAAGCCUCCAGCUUAACUGGAGAAGUGCCAUGGAUACUGCGCAUCUUGAGGAGGGUAGGGGCGUCUGGAACGGUCGGUGGAGCGGUGAAAUGCGUUGAUCUCGACCGGAACUCCGGUGGCGAAGGCGAGGCGCUGGACCCUUUCUGACGCUGAGGCGCGAAAGCCAGGGGAGCAAACGGG
rnacentral:rRNA from 1 species